rnacentral:lncRNA from 1 species
CAACUUUAUUAAACAAGCAUACAGGACCUAUCAUGUUCAUUCGUAUUACAGGUGCAACACAAAUCGAGCAUCAUGGAGAGUCAUCCAUUAAGUAUAUAAAAAGGACAGUCAGUAGAUGGAUAGGAGAAAAGCUAUUGUCCAGAAAUGGUUUUAGAACAAAUCCCGCUAAACUAUCUAUCGCCUAUUAUCCUACCACCGUAGGGAUCUUGAAGCUAAGCAGCAAGAAACCUGCAUAAUCAGUAAUUACGAAUAAUCACAUUCAAACACAGAAGCUAGAUAGCUAUGCUAUCCUAUCCUCAGUUACCUCUGAUGGCACAAACGCCAUGAACCUUGGCAUAGGAGUGGGAUUAUAGGGGGCCAAAUCAGCAGCCCGUUUUUCUCCAUCAUAUUCCUGCAUUCACCAUGAGUGAUACAACCAUGUUGUGCAUUAACCUGCCAUGUCAAAGAAUGCAUUAUAACCUAAGGUCGAUGUAGGUUGAUCUGAAUUUUUUUUCAUUACAAGAAAGGGACUGGUUAUCUGCACAUCUCAAGAAAGAACAGACACACAUCAAUCCAUUUUUCCAGGAUGCAUAUGUACCAGAGGAACACGAACAUAAUAAACUAACAGAUAAAUAAGUACGGAACCUCAAGAGUAAACUGCAAUUCAGGAAUCAUGGCACAUAUCAAAUUAUUAAGACAUGUUAGAGGCCGACCUCAAGUCUAACCUAAAUCAUGUAAAUCUUCUAGAAAGAGAAUGUCCUCACUGCACUUGCAGAGUAUAGUUUAACAAGCAAAAUGGAAGAAAAGAAAAGCAUCCCCAUUGCUUUUUUGAUAUAAUGGCCUCACAAAUGUUCCCUCUUUGUGACUUCCAUUCGCAGUCAGAGAGAAAAUAAUUUCAGUAAGCAACGUAAAUAAUCUGAGCAUUUUUUCAUGAGGGGGAUAGCACACUGUAAAACGAACACCAUCUCUUGGCUGAUGCACAAGCCUGAAACGUGAUUCUAGAUGUGUCUUUGCAGGUGUAGAAUUCUCAAAAUACAUUAAGUUAUGAUCACAGCUGGAGAUCAAGAUAAGGCUAUUUUAGCUAGAGGCAUCACCAUCCAUACAUCUCGAGUUGGCUUAUUCUUAUUAAAACAUAUGUACAUAUAUUUUUGCUCUUACAUGCCAACUGCAAUAUUGUUCAUAUAUCAAGAUUGACAGAAACACGGUAGUCAGCGCAGGAUGGAUAGCAGAAUGGAAGCAGCUAACGAGCAACAGAUACUGUAUUUCAAUUAGCCAGCUAUAGUUUUAGAGUUCUGGAUAUUGUCCAACAAAACUGACAUCCUAAGAUGCUAAUGAUUGAUCAGAAACUCGCAACCUAGAGAUAAUGACUUGUGCCUCCAAUUCAUCAGGCUGCUAAUGAUUGGUCAGAAACCCGCAAUCCAAAAAUCAUGAUUUUAAAAGGGCUCUCAAAGUAGUUUAUGUUAGCGAUAUUUAAAAACAUCACGAAAGUAGAGGACUGAUGACCAUAUUUGGGAUGCAGAUCACAUCAAAUUUGCACAAACAAGUACUGUUGUUACUUAGCAAUAUGCAAAACAAUCAGAAGAGUAGAUGACUGACCGUCUAAGGGGUGUAGAUCAUAGAUGACACCAUUUUCCUAGGAAUAGAUAUCAAAUUUCCUCCCUACACAAGGUAAUUAUUGCAGAACAAUCCUUAAUUCAGGAAAAGGCCUGCACAUUACUAGAUGAUACAAACAGGGAACCAAACAUCAUUUCUGUACCCACCAGUAUUUACCAUUCUCACUAUCACAAAUUGCAGUGUCCUUGAUGCUGACCAAACAACCUUGCACGGAAAGUUCAGUUAGACCCCAGGAUGAUCUCUUUCAGCUCAAGCAUUGUCCAUGUCAUGCAUCAAUCAGUUCUUUAGCACUUUUAUUAGCACUUCAAUCCAGGAAACGAUUUCUUAGCGCAAUGAGUAUUCAAAACAUUAGAAAUGUUGGAUUUGAUACUUGUAUGAUAGCAGGCAAGAAGAGGACUAUGAUAGGAGGAAUGCAUAGAUCGGUCGCCAGGUAUGGCUGGGGAACACAAAUGUAUAUUCUCUGCAGGUACACCGAAUAUAAGAAAUGAAAUUGUGCAGUUUGAUAUAAGAUGGUGAUUUAAGAGGGAAAAACAACAAUGGCAAUGAAAAUAAUUGUGCUUCUUUUUCUAUGAUCUCUGAAAUUAUUUUCUAGCUAUACAAAUACCUACGGAAGUACAUGCAGGAUCUGACAAUCCAGACAAAUCCAGACAAGGACAUAUGAUUAAUUCAUAAGUUAGUCUCAUGCAAAUCCUAAUUAACAAAUAUAUUACGCAACAAUCAAUAUGAUCUUAUCAACAUGCUAUUUUGAGCUACAUUAAGAAAAUAAAACUGGUUGAAAAUAAAGCAUAGAAACGAAAGUGAUUGGGUGCAGAGAAAGUCGGCACCUUUGCACACUUGCUAGAAUCAUUUUGCUCCACCACCAGCUGCAUCAUGAGAACGUUGAUGCUGUGACUACUGACCAGCACCAAGCACACCAUCACCGAUCAACA